rnacentral:tRNA from 1 species
GUCCAGGGAUGGGAAUCGAACCCGCAGUGUUCCGCUUACCGGGCAGAUGCCAUGUCCACUAGGCUACCCUGGA